GAUGAACGCUAGCUACAGGCUUAACACAUGCAAGUCGAGGGGUAACGAGAGGAAAGCUUGCUUUCCUUGUCGACGACCGGCGCACGGGUGAGUAACGCGUAUCCAACCUGCCCCCAACUAAGGAAUAACCUUGCGAAAGUAAGACUAAUACCUUAUAAUUUCCUCAGAUGUCAUCUGACGAGGAAUAAAGAUUUAUCGGUUGUGGAUGGGGAUGCGUCUGAUUAGCUUGUUGGCGGGGGAACGGCCCACCAAGGCAACGAUCAGUAGGGGUUCGGAGAGGAAGGUCCCCCACAUUGGAACUGAGACAACGUCCAAACUCCUACGGGAGGCAGCAGUGAGGAAUAUUGGUCAAUGGGCGUAAGCUUGAACCAGCCAAGUAGCGUGCAGGAUGACGGCCCUAUGGGUUGUAAACUGCUUUUAUACAGGAAUAAAGUUAGCCACGUGUGGUUAUUUGUAGGUACUGUAUGAAUAAGGACCGGCUAAUUCCGUGCCAGCCGCCGCAGUAA
rnacentral:rRNA from 1 species